GUUGGUGUAACUCAGUGGUAGAGUGCAUGCUUUGUAUGUUUGAUGUCUUGGAUUCAAACCCCACCUUAUCCC